UACGGAGGGUGCAAGCGUUGUCCGGAAUUACUGGGCAUAAAGGGUGCGUAGGUGGUUUGUUAAGUCACGGGUGAAAGUUUUCGGCCCAACCGGAAAAUUGCCUGUGAUACUGGCGAACUUGAGUGCGUGAGGGGUAACCGGAACGAGCAGUGUAGCGGUGAAAUGCGUAGAUAUUGCUCGGAAGGCCAGAGGCGAAGGCGGGUUACUGGUACGCAACUGACACUGAGGCACGAAAGCGUGGGGAGCAAACAGG
rnacentral:rRNA from 1 species